rnacentral:rRNA from 1 species
GAUGAACGCUAGCUACAGGCUUAACACAUGCAAGUCGAGGGGCAGCGGGGAUGAAGCUUGCUUUAUCUGCCGGCGACCGGCGCACGGGUGCGUAACGCGUAUCGAACCUACCGCAUACUCAGGGAUAGCCUUGCGAAAGUAAGAUUAAUACCUGAUGUUAUUAUGUCCUUGCAUGGGGGUGUAAUUAAAGAUUUAUUGGUAUGCGAUGGCGAUGCGUCUGAUUAGGUAGUUGGUGAGGUAAAGGCUCACCAAGCCGACGAUCUUUAGCUGGUCUGAGAGGAUGAUCAGCCACACUGGGACUGAGACACGGCCCAG